UUUCCGUAGGUGAACCUGCGGAAGGAUCAUUAUUGUAUAACCGAGGUGCGAGGGCUGUCGCUGACCCGAAAGGUCGUGCACGCCCGAGUGACAUCACACACAUCCAUUUCACCCCGAUGUGCGCCACCGCGCGGGUCUCCCGUUUGGCUUGAUCGGAGGGGGGCUUACGUUUUCACACAAACUUUGUAUGCAGUGUAGAAUGUAUUUUUUGUUUUUGCGAUCACGCAAUCAAUACAACUUUCAACAACGGAUCUCUUGGCUCUC
rnacentral:misc_RNA from 1 species